rnacentral:misc_RNA from 1 species
ACGGAAUCCAAGAUGGCACCGGUAAGCAUAGCUUGAAACAUUUUGUCAAUAUUUCACCUAUCUUUUUCCUUUUUUUUCUAUUUUAACUCGUAUCUACUUUAUUAUAAAUACUUAAAGAAAGGAAUAGCGAUAAAACAUUUUGUAAAUUUUCGGGAGUUUGUGAAAUUAAAUGAAAUGUAGUAUUGAGACCACGUGCCACGCUGAGAACAAUUGAAUUAAUACUCCCUAUGAUUUUACUUUGAACACUGUCUAAUUCAAAUACUAUUCCAAGGUAUUAUAAACAAUUUCAUGGUUUUCAGACUAAAACUGUUCAAAAGAGACCCAAGCCAAAGGGAAAGAAGAAGAACAAGGACGCCAAGUCAUUCACUAUUGACUGCACUCACCCAGUUGAAGAUGGUGUUAUGAACGUUGAGAACUUUGGUCACCUUCCCUAGUGUAUUGUUUGAAUUAUUUUCUAGGAAGCCUUCUUGAAAGAAAAAGUUAAGGUAAAUGGAAAAACCGGCAACAUGGGAAAAGAUGUCAAGCUUGUCAAGGACAAGAACAAGAUUACCGUUCAUGCCGAAAUUCCCUUCAGCAAGAGAUAUUUGAAAUAUUUAACAAAGAAAUAUCUCAAGAAGAACAGUCUUCGUGAUUGGCUUCGUGUAGUAGCUAACGCCAAGGAAUCCUACGAAGUUCGUUACUUCAACAUCAAUAACGACGAAGAAGAAGACGAGGAGAACUAAUUUCUUAAAGUUAUCAGAAAUACACGUUUUUGAAUUGAAUAUAUAUUACUUUCUUAUUCUUCUUGAACGAAAGCAUUAGAAUUACAUAUGUUAAGUGCGAGAGUUGUUCUUAAAAGAGUACACUUAAUCUUAUCUAUAGUGCAGCCUUAAGCUAGAUAUAAGCUCGCUCAACUCUUUAAUUAUUCUCCUCACGACUUGCACGUAAGCAACCCAAAAUAUAGUAAUCUUUUUAGGCUCAAUACCCUUUUCAAAGGCUCUUAAAUCGUCUUCGUAUUUUAUGCAUACGAAGAUUACUAUAGGAGCGGAAAGCUGGGGGUGGUGUGGCACUUAAAGGCAUCUUCAAGAACCAGUUCUAUUAGCUAGUGAAAAUUUGCGAAAUAAACUUUUUUGACGACCAUGCAUCAAUUGAGAAGAAAUGUUUUUAUCUAUCUUAGGCGACAUUACAAAUAUGGAAUAUUGCUAUUAGUGAACAUAUCUCUUCUACUUUUUAAUAUAUGGAUUCUUACCAAUACAAGUUCAGUAAAGUCUUCAAAUACAAAAAAAUUAUCACUCGAAGUGAUAGAACACGAGUACUACAAAACCUUGGAUGACUACGAAAAAGGUGUGCAUUUACGUCCUCAACCUAUAUAUGCUGAAGAAAAGAACGAGCCUUUUGAAAAAGACAAAACUCGUAUAGACGAAGUAUAUACUCAAGCUCAGCAUAAAUACAAAGUUCCUCUGAAGUAUGACUACUCUGAGAGAUCCUCGUAUAUUGUCCCAUCUAUAGAACAUCAAGGAACAAUUAAAUGUUCUAGAGUUAUGAAAAAUGAUGAGCAAGAAAUAAAUAAAGCUGAAAGUUUGCAUAUAGAAAGACCGGGGAAAAUUCCGGUACCUUUAGAGACUUAUCAAUGGUGGUUGUCUCGAUGUAAGGACUUUAGAAGAGCAAGAGGAUACGUUGAAGUUGCAACAGAACAGGAGGAAAAAUGGCCUUUAGCAUUUAGUCUUUCAAUUUAUAGAGAUUUUGAACAAGCCGAAAGACUUUUACGAGCUAUAUGGAGACCCCAUAAUAUUUACUGCAUCCAUAUUGAUGUUAAAUCACCCUUAAUCUUUCAUAGAACAGUUAGGGCAUUAGCAAAAUGUUUUGAUAAUGUUUUUAUAGCUUCCCAUUUGGAUAAGAUAAAAUGGGGAGAUGUUAGUGUAUUACUCCCAGAUAUCAAUUGUAUGAGAGACCUAAUUAGAUAUUACAGGGGUCGGUGGAAAUACUUUAUUAAUCUUACCGGUCAAGAAUUUCCUUUGCGAACCAAUUACGAAUUGGCUAGAAUUGCAGAAAUAUUUAAUGGAUCAAAUGACAUUGCAGGAUCACUUUCGAGAAUGGAAAUGGAUCGAGUUAUUCAUAAAUGGGGUCAUAGGUGGAGUAUAACCUAUCAGCAAAUGAUCUUCUAUGAUACUUUCGAACAGAAAACCCAAUUUUAUGAGAAUGUAACAUUUUAUAAAGGAGAGAUGCACGGCUUAUUUUCUCAUAAUUUUGUAAAGUACGUAGUCGAGAGUAAAAUUGGCAUUGAUUAUUUAAAUUGGUGCAAAGACACUGGUCAUCCUAGUGAACAUUAUUACAACGUUUUAAACUAUAAUAAAUAUCUUAAUGCACCAGGUGGAUAUUACGGUAUGCUCACAAUAGUUUGUCUAUCUUGAUUAGAUUAUCGUCUAAAACGCAAACUUGAAUGAAUAAUUGUAGGUAAUUCGAAAUUAGCUGACAACUAUUCUUACAAUCUUGCUAUUCGAUUAAAACUAUGGAAUUCGGGUCGUCAUUACGGUGGACGCGACUGUUUGGGUCGGUAUGUGAGAGGUAUAUGCCAUUUUGGGAUUAAAGACGUUCCAUGGCUAGUGACAAGACCCGAAAUGUUUAUGAACAAGUUUAACCUAACGUAUAAAUGGUACGGUUAUGAAUGUCUUGAGGAAUGGCAUAGGGAAAGAACAAAGUUAAUGGAUAAAGUAGACUUUGAUGAUCGUUAUUAUAAAUCGUUACCAACAGUUAAAUAUGCAAGAAAAGAUGGCCUACCUAACUAAAUCGUAAAAUAUUGUCAGGGGAAAAACUGUGAAAUAUUUUCUUGUUAUAGAAAUUCUUUUGUUGAAUACAAAAUUAAAUAACUAUAA